rnacentral:rRNA from 1 species
UACGGAGGGAGCUAGCGUUGUUCGGAAUUACUGGGCGUAAAGCGCACGUAGGCGGCUUUGUAAGUUAGAGGUGAAAGCCCGGAGCUCAACUCCGGAACUGCCUUUUAAGACUGCAUCGCUUGAAUCCAGGAGAGGUGAGUGGAAUUCCGAGUGUAGAGGUGAAAUUCGUAGAUAUUCGGAAGAACACCAGUGGCGAAGGCGGCUCACUGGACUGGUAUUGACGCUGAGGUGCGAAAGCGUGGGGAGCAAACAGG